rnacentral:rRNA from 1 species
UCGAGGAUCUUCGGCAAUGGGCGCAAGCCUGACCGAGCGACGCCGCGUGAGCGAUGAAGGCCUUCGGGUCGUAAAGCUCUGUCGGGGGGGAGAAAGGGGCAACCUUGAUCGACCCCCGGAGGAAGCACGGGCUAAGUUCGUGCCAGCAGCCGCGGUAAGACGAACCGUGCGAACGUUAUUCGGAAUCACUGGGCUUAAAGGGCGCGUAGGCGGGCUCGCCAGUCCGGGGUGAAAUCCCACGGCCCAACCGUGGAAGUGCCUUGGAUACUGCGAGCCUCGAGGGGGGUAGGGGCGUGCGGAACUCAGGGUGGAGCGGUGAAAUGCGUAGAUAUCCUGAGGAACACCGGUGGCGAAAGCGGCGCGCUGGACCCCUUCUGACGCUGAGGCGCGAAAGCCAGGGGAGCAAACGGG